UUUCCAGACUCCUACGGGAGGCAGCAGUGGGGGAUAUUGCACAAUGGGGGGAACCCUGAUGCAGCGACGCCGCGUGGGUGAAGGAGCGUUUCGGCGCGUAAAGCCCUAUCGGCAAGGAAGAAGGAGGACGGUACCUGACUAAGAAGCCCCGGCUAACUACGUGCCAGCAGCCGCGGUAAUACGUAGGUGGCGAGCGUUAUCCGGAUUUAUUGGGCGUAAAGAGUGCGCAGGCGGUUUGUUAAGUCUAAGAUAAAAGCCCGGAGCUUAACUUCGGUUCGGCUUAGAAACUGGCAGACUUGAGUAUGGUAGAGGCAAAUGGAAUUCCUAGUGUAGCGGUGGAAUGCGUAGAUAUUAGGAGGAACACCAGUGGCGAAGGCGGUUUGCUGGGCCAUUACUGACGCUCAGGCACGAAAGCGUGGGGAGCAAAUAGGAUUAGAUACCCCCGUAA
rnacentral:rRNA from 1 species